rnacentral:sRNA from 1 species
UCCAGGCCAGGAACAGAGCAGGGUUGGGGCAGAGAGCUGUGCUCACGGCCAGUGCAUUGUCUCCCAGAUUCGUGGCUCUGGGCUUGCCUUCCCGGCUGAAAGGCAAAGCAGCCUGGCCCUGUUCUAGUUAUUUCUUUGUGUAUGAGUGUGUAUAUAUGUUUGUUUAUUUAAGCAAGAGCUCUCUCUGCAGAGUGGGGUGUGUGUGUGUGUGUGUGUGUGUGUGUGUGUGUGUGUUUGUGUGGGGUGCUUCAGAGAGAGCUGAAAUUGUACCUCUUUUCUUUCAGCCCUCUGCAUUUCCCCAGAGAGAAGGUUUUUUUCUCGUCUUCAUUUCCUUUGAAACACCUGGGGUGAGGAAAAACCUCUACAUUGGCCAAGCAGAAGAAACAGAGUCUAUGACUGAAGAGGAUCGGCUAAGAGUGGUUCCUCGCAGCUUAAAGGGAGGCACUUUUCACACUCUGUCUUAAAAUCAGAAGUUGAAUUCAUGAACACAUAUGAUUUAGAUAGAAGUCAUGGGAUGCAGCAGUUCUUCAACGAAAACCAGGAGAUCUGAGACAUCGCUGAGAGCUGCGUUGAUCAUCCAGAACUGGUACCGAGGUUACAAAGCUCGACUGAAGGCCAGACAACACUAUGCCCUCACCAUCUUCCAGUCCAUCGAAUAUGCUGAUGAACAAGGCCAAAUGCAGUUAUCCACCUUCUUUUCCUUCAUGUUGGAAAACUACACACAUAUACAUAAGGAAGAGCUAGAAUUAAGAAAUCAAUCUCUUGAAAGCCAACAGGACAUGAGAGAUAGACGGGAUUAUGUGGACUUGAUAGAUGUCCCAGACUCCUAUAAUGGUCCUCGGCUACAAUUUCCUCUCACUUGUACUGAUAUUGAUUUACUUCUUGAGGCCUUCAAGGAACAACAG